rnacentral:antisense_RNA from 1 species
UGUGGGAGCGAGCCUGCUCGCGAAGGCGCCGUGUCAGUCGGCAUAUGCUUAUCUGACACACCGCUUUCGCGAGCAGGCUCGCUCCCACA